GAGAGCCGUAUGAUGGGAAACUGUCACGUAUGGUUCGGAGGGCAGCUCAGUCUGACCCUAC
rnacentral:ncRNA from 1 species